UACGUAGGGGGCAAGCGUUAUCCGGAUUUACUGGGUGUAAAGGGAGCGUAGACGGCGACGCAAGUCUGGAGUGAAAGCCCGGGGCCCAACCCCGGGACUGCUCUGGAAACUGCGGCGCUGGAGUACGGGAGGGGCAGGCGGAAUUCCUAGUGUAGCGGUGAAAUGCGUAGAUAUUAGGAGGAACACCAGUGGCGAAGGCGGCCUGCUGGACUGCAACUGACGUUGAGGCUCGAAGGCGUGGGGAGCAAACAGG
rnacentral:rRNA from 1 species